CUACGGGUGGCUGCAGUGGGGAAUAUUGCACAAUGGGCGAAAGCCUGAUGCAGCAACGCCGCGUGAGGGACGACGGCCUUCGGGUUGUAAACCUCUUUUAGCAGGGAAGAAGCGAAAGUGACGGUACCUGCAGAAAAAGCACCGGCUAACUACGUGCCAGCAGCCGCGGUAAUACGUAGGGUGCAAGCGUUGUCCGGAAUUAUUGGGCGUAGAGAGCUCGUAGGCGGGUUGUCGCGUCUGCUGUGAAAAUCCGAGGCUCAACCUCGGACCUGCAGUGGGUACGGGCAAACUAGAGGGCGGUAGGGGAGAUUGGAAUUCCUGGUGUAGCGGUGGAAUGCGCAGAUAUCAGGAGGAACACCAAUGGCGAAGGCAGAUCUCUGGGCCGUAACUGACGCUGAGGAGCGAAAGCGUGGGGAGCGAACAGGAUUAGAUACCCCGGUAGUC
rnacentral:rRNA from 1 species